rnacentral:tRNA from 1 species
GCCUCCGAGGCACAACCGGUUAGCGCGUUCGUCCAUUAACCGAAAGGUUGGUGGUUCGAGACCACCAAGAGGC